UUGUUUUUACCAUCUCUAAGCUAAAUUUGAAAUCAAAACAAUAAUAAUACUUUUUCGUGGCAUUUUAAGACUGAGAAAAAAGCUAAUAAUGAGCCAGAUAUCGGGAAGCACACUGGACUCGCAGCGUAUGAUGAUGAUGGAGGCACACAGUUCCCUGAAAACAAUGAUCGAAAAAGCAAAAAUAACACCAAAGGAUAGUCCCCAGAAAUCAGAAGAACUUAAUGGCCGAAUCGUAAAGCUAAUCGAGGCAAUUAAGAAGCGUCACAAAGAGCUGCAGGCGAUGGAAUAAACAAAAAAUGAAUGAGACUGGUUGGGGCGUGCGGUUAAUUUUGGGUUGUUUUAUAAAUACAUAUGUAAAAUAUA
rnacentral:sRNA from 1 species